AACGGGGGGGGCCAGCGUUAUUCGGAUUACUAGGCGUAAAGGGUGAGUAGAUGUCCUUUGGUGAGUUUUUGCGAAAAAUUAGAUUAAUGUUUAAUGAGUAAUCUCUACUCUUAGGAUUGAGUUAUGAUCGGGUUGGUUAGAAUUUCUGGUGUAAGGGUUAAAUCUAACGAUUCCAAAAGGAAUACUCGUAGUGAAGGCGACUAUCUAGAUUAUAACUGACGUUGAGGCACGGAGGUAUGGGGAGCGAACAGG
rnacentral:rRNA from 1 species